UGUUCCAUGGUGUAAUUGGCAACACGUCUGAUUUUGGUUCAGAAGAGUUCUGGUUCGACCCCAGAUGGAACAACUA
rnacentral:tRNA from 1 species